rnacentral:misc_RNA from 1 species
GAUGAAGAACGUAGUGAAAUGCGAUAAGUAAUGUGAAUUGCAGAAUUCAGUGAAUCAUCGAAUCUUUGAACGCACAUUGCGCCCGCCAGUACUCUGGCGGGCAUGCCUGUUCGAGCGUCAUUUCAACCAUCAAGCCCCCGGCUUGUGUUGGGGACCUGCGGCUGCCGCAGGCCCUGAAAACCAGUGGCGGGCUCGCUGUCACACCGAGCGUAGUAGAUUUUCAUCUCGCUCAGGGCGUGCUGCGGGUUCCGGCCGUAAAAAGCCUUAUUUACCCAAGGUUGACCUCGGAUCAGGUAGGAAGACCCGCUGAACUUAAGCAUAUCAAUAAGCGGAGGA